AAAAGAAACUAACAAGGAUUCCCCCAGUAGCGGCGAGCGAAGCGGGAACAGCCCGGUAUGAAAAUCUCUUUGGAGAGUUGUAGUCCGAACACGCCUGGGUGGUCAGUGCGGGCAAGUCGUCUGGGAUGACGCGCCAUGGAGGGUGAGAGCCCCGUCCAACCUGCACAGGAUUUCACUCGUUACGGUGUGUUUUUAAACCGAGUCGGGUAGUUUGGGAAUGCUGCUCUAAUUUUGGUGGUAAAUCUCAUCAAAGGCUAAAUAAAAGUGGGAGACCGAUAGCGAACAAGUACCGUGAGGGAAAGAUGGAAAGAACUUUGAAAAGAGAGUGAAAAGCACUUGAAACCGUCAUGGGGGAAGCGAAUUGCGUUAGUGAUGUCUGUGGCUGUUCAGCUUUUGGUUUUUGGAGUGGCGAAAGUCAUUUCAUAGAAAGUGCAUUCUGGCACAGACAGGCCUGCGUGGCUGGCGGGAGUGUGACGAGACGGCGAAUGAGCGUGGCCGGGUCAUUUUAUGAUUCUGCUGCGCCUGUUCUGUCGACACUUGGCACUCGUUCGCUGGUGAGGGCUCCCCUGAAACACGGGUGAGGACGCUGGCGAAAUGACGCAAUACGACCCGUCUUGAAACACGGACCAAGGAGUCUAGCACGGCUGCGAGUCGAAGGGUGUGAAAAACCCAAUGGGCGCAGUGAAAGCGAAAACGUUGUUCUACGGGGCAUCGGCAAAGCAAAUUGGGGAGGCGUUGCGGUUCUACCAAAAUGUCCUACCUUGAGCAGGUGUGCUGGGACCCGAAAGAUGGUGAACUAUGCCGGAGUAGGGCAAAGCCAGAGGAAACUCUGGUGGAGGCUCGUAGCGAUGCUGACGUGCAAAUCGCUCGUCGAACUUGGGUAUAGGGGCGAAAGACUAAUCGAACCAUCUAGUAGCUGGUUCCCUCCGAAGUUUCUCUCAGGAUAGCGGGCCGACAAAAACAAUGAAUGAAUGUUGUUCUGUGUGGUAAAGCGAAUGAUUAGUGCAUUUGGGGGCCGAAGGCCUUCGGGCGAUUCUCAAACUUUAAAUGCGCAGGGGGGCGGCUGCUUAAUAUGAGCCUGCUCUUUGAAAAACGUCGGCUCCGUGGGCCACUUUUGGUAAGCAGAACUGGCGAUAAGGGAUGAACCUUAAGCGCGGUUAAGGCGCCACAUUGCCCGCUUAUAGAGCCCACAAAAGGUGUUGAUUCAUUUAGACAGCAGGACGGUGGCCAUGGAAGUCGGAAUCCGCUAAGGAGUGUGUAACAACUCACCUGCCGAAUGAAUUAGCCCUGAAAAUGGAUGGCGCUGAAGCGGGCAGCCGACACCGCGCCGUUCGGACAAACGUAUGAAAAUAGGAAUCUUUUUUGGUCCGAAUGAGUAGGAGGGCGUGGCGGUCUGUGACGCAGGCGUGGGUGCAAACCCCGCUGAAACGGCCGCUAGUGCAGAUCUUGGUGGUAGUAGCAAAUAUUCAAGCGAGAACCUUGAAGGGCGAAGUGGGGAAGGGUUCCAUGCUAACAUUGAUUGGGCGUGGGUGAGUC
rnacentral:rRNA from 1 species